rnacentral:lncRNA from 1 species
CUGUCUACGCGGACUACCGCAUGCAUGGUGACUGACCCUUCGUAUUCAUUAACAUGUCUACGCGGACUACCGUAUGCAUGGUGAAUGACCAUUCAUAUUCAUUAUUUAUUAAAUUGUGGAAAUGAUUUGUCUACGUGGAUUAACGCAUGGCGGGUGAAAAUCCAUUUGUAGUUUCGUAUAUUCUAUUAUACUCGUAUGAGAUAUCAUUUCUUUUGUACUCGUCAUGG